GAGGGCGCCAAGCAUAUCCACGGAGUGCUUUCUUCGGCAUCGGCGGCUACCAUCGAUAUCGCCACAUGAACGGGCACCGUCCAGAAGAUAAGGUUGCCUCGCCCAGAAGAUGAGGUUGUCGCACUUCCUAGCAGCAUCGUCAAAGAGGCGCCUGUGAGUGCCGGCCUGAAGUACCUUCUCAACACGGCAUUGCAGAGCUUUGAGUCGGUGGAGUCGGGCUUGACCGGCCUGCAAUCUAUUCGCUGCUCUCCCGUUCGUUCCCCUCCUCCCUCCCAAUCCUGAUAUUUAUGGGAGCCGGCGGUGAGGUAUGCAUAGUUUGACUGGGUUGCAUUUCUUUUUUAACAAUCGAUUUCGACUUGGUUACGUGGUACAUACUAAAAACAAAUCAUUUAUUUUUGGCGACGUAACUAUUUCUAGAUUUGAGAUUUUAGUCACAGACAAGUUUUGAGAAAAUAAUCAAGAUAUGAGAUAGGCCCAUGAGACAGCGUGGACGUGGCUCAACCUCUUGUCAAUUGAGUUUUCAUUCUCCUAUCGCUCUGGCAUGUAACUUACAAAUCGGUAUUGUCGAUUGUGGAUACAGUAAAAGAGAAAUCUCAGCCGUCAAUCUUCAUGAUUAACACAAAAUCAAUGGAUAUAAAAGGGUGACCUAUGGAGAACUAUGAAAGCCUCCGUCCUUUAAUAUUAGGUAUAGAUUAAGAGUUUAUAUUUCAUGCUAUAAUUGAUAUGAUCCUAGAAUAUGCGAUUCAGUGCAAAACUCAUAUACACGCGUGAAAUGAUACACGAUAAACAAUAGGUUCUCGGUCUCACCUCUAAGACCGGCUUAAAUGUUGUUAGUCAUCAUGUUUUUCGGAUUUUAGGAUAUCUCUAAGGGUGACGAUAGUCCUAAAACAACAUUGAUGAUAUGACAUUAGAAGAAUGAUCAUGUUGAAUCGACCCAGUACUUGUUUGUUAUACUAUGUGAUCAUAUCGUCUGAAAUCACCUGUUAUAACACAUAGUGUUAGCAUGUGUCUUAGUUCCUCAAACCAUGAGAGUGUCUUGGUCACUUACUACCAGAUGGUGGACUUUGGAGUUGCAAAAACAUAAUUUAUAAUAAGGUGACAACUUUCAGGCUCACCGGAAAGUUUGACAAGUGACUGGACAGUGCAAGAGUGGGAUUUGCUCCUCCAACAAUGGAGAUAUAUUCUUAGGGCCCUCUCAGUGUAAAGGCAUCCAUCAUCGUCUGGCCAGACACAGGUGACUACGUCACAGGGAUGCCUGAACAUGUCAAAGAAAAAGAAGAACAAAACCGGUAGCGGGAGCAACGAUAUAGUGAGCAUGGUGAUGACUCAAGAGGAUAACGAUGUACACCAGGUUUUGUAAAGUAUCAUGAAGAAGAGGGAACAUCACAUGAUAACCAAAGGUUCACUCGAAUAUCAUUCAUGUAAUCAUAGGGACCAAUAUGGAUGUCCAUGAUUCCGCUACCGGUCAUUGAACGAAG
rnacentral:lncRNA from 1 species